GCCGAUCAAGCCGCCACCACCGCCAGUGACGCACGCGCGAGAGGGAGAACCUUGCGAGAGAGAGAGAGAGAGCUGCGAGGGAGAGUGAGGGGACGUGGACAGCAGCGUUCUUGGACCUUUUCUUCACCAAAACCUUUUCCUUUUCACCAAGUUAGCCAAGAUGGUCGUGAAGAUAAUGGCGACGACUCAUUCUUGGGAGUUGAUGCUACGUGACGAGCCACUACCGGAUGACGACUACACUUCUGAUGAAGAGGAAGAAGAUAAAGAGGAAGGGGCCAAGGAUAUGGUUGGGUUGUGAGACAUCCAUUUUUCUUUUGGGUUGAGAGUACCGAGUUUUGGAAGUAUUGAACCAUUACUUUAUUUUAGUUGAGAUAGUUUAACUUGAUGUAAUUUACUUUGAAGUUUUCUUCCGGAUAUUUAUUUCAUACUCUUUUCAAUGAUUAAUAAAGUUUGAGGUUUACGUUGAUGAUUA